GAUGAACGCUAGCGGCAGGCUUAAUACAUGCAAGUCGAGGGGCAGCAUGAUUGUAGCAAUACAAUUGAUGGCGACCGGCAAACGGGUGCGGAACACGUACACACCCUUCCAACAAGUGGGGGAUAGCCCAGAGAAAUUUGGAUUAAUACCCCGUAACAUAGCGAUGUGGCAUCACAUUUCUAUUAUAGAUUUUUCGCUUGUUGAUGGGUGUGCGGCUGAUUAGAUAGUUGGCGGGGUAACGGCCCACCAAGUCUACGAUCAGUAGCUGAUGUGAGAGCAUGAUCAGCCACACGGGCACUGAGACACGGGCCCGACUCCUACGGGAGGCAGCAGUAAGGAAUAUUGGACAAUGGACGCAAGUCUGAUCCAGCCAUGCCGCGUGAAGGAUUAAGGUCCUCUGGAUUGUAAACUUCUUUUAUAAGGGACGAAAAAAGGCUUUUCUAAGUCGUCUGACGGUACCUUAUGAAUAAGCACCGGCUAACUCCGUGCCAGCCGCCGCGGUAAAAC
rnacentral:rRNA from 1 species